UGGGGAAUAUUGCACAAUGGGCGCAAGCCUGAUGCAGCCAUGCCGCGUGUAUGAAGAAGGCCUUCGGGUUGUAAAGUACUUUCAGCGGGGAGGAAGGGAGUAAAGUUAAUACCUUUGCUCAUUGACGUUACCCGCAGAAGAAGCACCGGCUAACUCCGUGCCAGCAGCCGCGGUAAUACGGAGGGUGCAAGCGUUAAUCGGAAUUACUGGGCGUAAAGCGCACGCAGGCGGUUUGUUAAGUCAGAUGUGAAAUCCCCGGGCUCAACCUGGGAACUGCAUCUGAUACUGGCAAGCUUGAGUCUCGUAGAGGGGGGUAGAAUUCCAGGUGGAGCGGUGAAAUGCGUAGAGAUCUGGAGGAAUACCGGUGGCGAAGGCGGCCCCCUGGACGAAGACUAACGCUCAGGUGCGAAAGCGUGGGGAGCAAACAGG
rnacentral:rRNA from 1 species